rnacentral:rRNA from 1 species
UUGCACGCUGGCGGCCUGCUUUACACAUGCAAGUCGAACGGCAGCGCGGGCUUCGGCCUGGCGGCGAGUGGCGAACGGGUGAGUAAUGCAUCGGAACGUGCCCAGUAGUGGGGGAUAGCCCGGCGAAAGCCGGAUUAAUACCGCAUACGACCUGAGGGUGAAAGCGGGGGACCGAAAGGCCUCGCGCUAUUGGAGCGGCCGAUGUCGGAUUAGCUAGUUGGUGGGGUAAAGGCUUACCAAGGCGACGAUCCGUAGCUGGUCUGAGAGGACGACCAGCCACACUGGGACUGAGACACGGCCCAGACUCCUACGGGAGGCAGCAGUGGGGAAUUUUGGACAAUGGGGGCAACCCUGAUCCAGCCAUGCCGCGUGCGGGAAGAAGGCCUUCGGGUUGUAAACCGCUUUUGUUCGGGAAGAAAUCCUCUGGGCUAAUACCCCGGGGGGAUGACGGUACCGGAAGAAUAAGCACCGGCUAACUACGUG